GCCGGACGGGGUGGCGCGUGCCUGUAGUCCCAGCUACUCGGGAGGCUGAGGUAGGAGGAUCGCUUGAGCCCAGGAGUUCUGGGCUGUAGUGCGCUAUGCCAAUCAGGUGUUCACACAAACUUCGGUGUCAGUAUAGUGACCUCCCGGGAGCAGGGGACCACCAGGGUUGCCUAAGUGGGGGGUGGCCCGGCCGAGGUCGGAAACGGAGCUGGUCAAAACUCCCUUGCUGGCCGGGCGCGGUGGCUCAAGCCUGUAAUCCCAGCACUGUGGGAGGCCGAGGUGGGUGGAUCACGAGGCGAAGAGAUCGACACCAUCCUGGUCAACAUGGUGAAACCCCGUCUCU
rnacentral:SRP_RNA from 1 species